rnacentral:tRNA from 1 species
GUCCUCAUAGCUCAAUGGAUAGAGCACUGGUUUGCGGAGCCAGUGAUGUAGGUUCGAUUCCUACUGGGGACA